rnacentral:tRNA from 1 species
GGCGGCGUACCCAAGUGGCUUAAGGGAAGAGUCUGCAAAACUCUGAUUCAGCGGUUCAAUUCCGCUCGCCGCCU